AACGAACGCUGGCGGCGUGGAUAAGACAUGCAAGUCGAACGGGGAAUCUAUAGGGCUUGCUUUAAAGGUUCCUAGUGGCGAACGGGUGAGUAACACGUGAGUUACCUGCCCCGAAGUGGGAGAUAGCCCGGAGAAAUUCGGAUUAAUACCCCAUGUGAUCGUAAGAUUAAAGGCGGCGCAAGCUGUCGCUUCGGGAUGGGCUCGCGGCCUAUCAGCUUGUUGGUGAGGUAAUGGCUCACCAAGGCGAUGACGGGUAGCUGGUCUGAGAGGAUGAUCAGUCACACUGGAACUGAGACACGGUCCAGACACCUACGGGUGGCAGCAGUCGAGAAUCAUUCGCAAUGGGCGAAAGCCUGACGGUGCGACGCCGCGUGGAGGAUGAAGGCCCUAGGGUCGUAAACUCCUGUCAUCAGGGAGUAAUGGCUCAUAUAGUAACUGAUAUGGGUCUUGAUAGUACCUGAAGAGGAAGGGACGGCAAACUUCGUGCCAGCCGCCGCCGUAAGAC
rnacentral:rRNA from 1 species